AUUGUUUGCCCGUAGAAGUGGCUC
rnacentral:piRNA from 1 species